UACGUAGGGGCCUAGCGUUGUCCGGAUUUAUUGGGCGUAAAGAGCUCGUAGGCGGUUCGGUAAGUCAGGUGUGAAAACUCGAGGCUUAACCUCGAGAUGUCAUCGGAAACCAUUUGGCUAGAGUCCGGAAGAGGAAAGUGGAAUUCCUGGUGUAGCGGUGAAAUGCGCAGAUAUCAGGAAGAACACCCGUGGCGAAGGCGGUUCUCUGGGACGGUACUGACGCUGAGACGCGAAAGCGUGGGGAGCGAACAGG
rnacentral:rRNA from 1 species